GCAUUCCUAUUUCACACAGGCAGCUCCAAUUCUUCAUUGUUAGGAGAAAGCCAUUACUAUUCCAUCACUCUGAUGCUGUCCAAGGUUUCAAAAAUGAAGACAAUGAGACUCUGGCAUGGGAGGGUGUCAUGAAGGAAAACUACCUUGUCAAGAUCAACACAAAAGCCAACGACACCUCAGAGGAGUAUGUCAGACAUCCCUUUCUGCUUUGCAAGGCUCCCUCUGUAGACAUAAGCCCAUAGAAUGUAGGCAGCUUAUUUGAGCAAACUCAGUAAAGAGCAUUUUCAACAGAGAACAAUACCACCACAAAGAUAUUACCUGGGCAAUUGAAGAUGACAAACGCGUAAGUGUGUGCCAGCCUUUGUUUAUUUAUUUGUGUUGUUUACCCUCAACAUUUAAAAAAUCUAGGCAGUAGUUGGCAGCUGUGAAGGCCCUAAGUCUAGAGAACCAUGGGUUGUUNUAAGCAGCUGAAAUGAGGGGCAGCAUGAACCAGAAGAGAGCCCAGUGGGAAGAAGUGGGGGAGUCUGGGUUAUUCUGCCUGGGAACUUGCUUGCCUCUUUAUAGAGCUGGAUUUUAUUCCCAUGCAAGGGAAGGCUCGGGGAGUUUUAAAACCCAAGAGGGACCUAUCUGGAAUCCUCCUUUCACAGUGCUCUCUGAGUGAUCAGAAUGGUUGUGGAGGAGAGGCUCCAGCAAUCUGGUUGGGGAGUUAGAUGCGCUGGGAACUCUUCUACGUGGUGUGUUUGUAGAGAAAACAGUCUAUUUUAGUUUGUUUUGUUUUUUACUUGAGUUUAUUUGGGGUGACUUCGGGGGGAGCUAAUGGAAAGCCAUCUUAGGGUUUGGGCAAAAGCUUCCCCAAGCCACACCUUGGUCCUGACCCUGCUGUGGGACAUGCAGAGAGUGGACAGAGGAGGGCAGCAACAGUGGAUGCAGGAAGAGAGGGACAGGGUGCAAGCCUUGGCCCCAGCCUGGGCCCUGGGUCAGAGGAGAGGCGGUAGAAUUGUGGAUACCGCCGACCUGACUCCUAGGGUCCAGGAAGUUCGUCAGCCUGGAUCCCCACUGCACAACGCAGAGCCUCGGCCAUCACUCAGGAGGUCCCACCGCCUCCCUCCCCUUCUCCCUUUCCCCCUGCUCCGUCUCUUUUUUUAAAAUUUCCCCCUCUGUCCUCUUACUUCCCCUUCUGAACAACUAAAAAACCCUCCUUCUUUUUACUCACACAGAAUUUUAGGGAUAAUCUUUUGUUUCUCAAGAAAGCUUCUGGAGUCUUUUAAAUUUAUUUUUAAACAGCUUUAUUGAGAUAUCAUUGACAUAUAAAAUUAUAUAUAUUUAAAAUGUACAAUCUGAUGCUUCGAUGCAUGUAUACAUUGCAAAAUGAUCACUACAACCCAGCCCAGCUAAUUAACAUUGUAUUACUUCUACAUAUUUACCAUCUGUGAGUGUUGUAUGUAUGUGUGAGGGAAUUAGAUUAAUUUAAAAUCUCUCCUCCUGGCAAAUUUCGUGGGUACAAUAUUGUUAACUAUUGUCACCAUGCUGUACAGUCGAUCUCUAGAAUUUAUUUAUCUUGCGUAACAGAAACUUUCUGCCCUUUGACCAAUAUCACCUUAUUUGCCCCUCCUUCUUAGCCCCGGCAACCACCAUGCUACUCUCUGACUUGAUGAGUUUGACUCUUUUAGAUUUCACAUAUAAGUGAGAUAGUGCAUUAUUUCUCUUUCUGUGUCUGGCUAAUUUUGUUUAGCACAAUGUCCUCCAGCUCCACUUACGCUGUGGAAAAUGGCAGGAUUUCUUUCCCUAUUUUAAGGCUGAAAAAUAUUCCAUUAUAGGUAUGUACCACAUUUUCUUUAUCCAUUGAUCUCUUGAUGGACAUUAGGUAGUUUCCAUAUUUUGGCUAUUGUGAAUCAUGCUGCAGUGAGAAUGGCAGUGAAUGUGAGAAUGCAGAUAUCUCUUUGUGAUCCUGAUUUCAAUUCUUUUGGACCUAAACCCAGAGGUGGGAUUGCUGGAUCAUAUGAUAAUUGUAUUUUUAUUUUUUUGAGGAACUUCUAUACUGUUUUCCAUAAUAGCUAUAUCAACUUACCUUCCCACCAAUAGUGUACAAGAGUUCCCCUUUUCCCACCUCCUUGCCAACACUUAUCAUCUGCCUUUUUGAUAAUAAGCAUCGUAACAGGUGUGAGGUAUGGUCUCAUUGUGGUUUUGAUUUGUAUUUCCCUGAUGCUUAAGUGUUGAGCACCUUUUUAUAUACCUGUUUGACAUUUGAAUUUCUUCUUUUGAGAAGUGUCUGUUUACACAUGCCAUCUUGUUUAGUUUAUCUGUUGAAAUAUAGAAAAAAAAUCAGCAACAGAUAGAACAACUAAAAUGAUACAAAUCUAAAGGUGAUUAAAGAGUGGUAAUAAUCAGAAGAGAGUCAGAUUCAGACACGCACACCCCCCUCCUAAAUAUCCAGUCUUCUCAUCUCUCAUUCUUUCUCAAAUGUGCUGACUGAGUAAAACGGGCAGACAGACUGAUUUCCUAUCAACUCGCCCUUUCUUUAACCUUAAACUUUUAUUAACAUAUUGAGAAUUAAGUAACUGAUGAAUGAAAAGGAACUAAGAGAAGGACAUCAUUUAUUUUGUGAGUGUGUGUGGGUGUAGACAUUUGCAUCUACACAGAAAAAAAAAGAGGAGCAAAAGAGCCCAUGAGAAAACAGGUGUCCCCAAAAUUCAGAACCACUGGUGGCCUCAGAGACAACAAAUUUGGCAUGUCCAACUUUUUGUAUGCUUUUUACUUCUAGAUAUAAGAUCGUUUUUUUGAAUGUUGUGUUUGUCAUAUCCUUAAGAACAUCACUGAAAAUAUAACUUUAUAGGCAGCCAGCUAGGUAUACUCUGCCAGUGUCUCCUUAGGCUUCUUUAUGUAGAGGGGUGAGGGUAAUCCUUCCCUGGGGUAGUGGCCAGGGAAGACAGUGUCAGUCUCUUGUGGGAGUGAACUGGAAACCGUUUGACCUAGGCGAGGAGCUGACCCUGGGGGCAAGCCUUUACCAAUUCCCCCGUCUCCAUCCUUGAAUCAACCUUUGAUCCCGGAACUUGGGAUGAAAUAAACAGAUAAUUGUCUAUUUUUUUUCCUUCUGUUACACCAAAGUUGAAAGGAAGUAAGAAUCCAGGGCGAGAGCAAGCCAUUUGUUUUCUCCUAUUUUUAUACUUCAGCAGUGGGCACCCUCCUUGAAGACUAUGGGAAUAGACCUUACUUUAAGGAAGGUCCCUGGAAGUUGUUCAUUUCCUGCAUAAUAAUCCAUUGAUUCUUGCAUUUGCUGCACUUACGUUCUAGUUCAUUAAAAGAAUCUAGGCUGUUCCUUGGGGGACUCAUCAUAAACCCACAUUUUUAUGUUAUUUCAGUUUUAAUUCAGUUUUUAAAAAUUUAUGCAGAAACCACUGAGCAAAUAAAAUGCUCAGAAACGUUCUGGGUUUUAACCUAGAUUGAAUGAGUUGAGCCUUGAUCAUUCAACCUUAGUCACACAGCUCACACCGACAAACUGGUCAGAAUACACAUCUUUAAGAGAAAAAAACAUUCUCAGAGCUGCUUCUAUAAAAAAAAAAAAUCUCUCAACUUUGGUGGUAUAUUUGGAUCUAUUCCCAGUAUAUUCCCAGUAUAUUCCCAGUAUAUUUUGAAGCAAACCAUAUCCUGCCUGAGAAUGGAAGUGGGAAAUCUAUUCUUAACACAGUGUUCUUUCUUUGUUUUUACAGAUCAUAUUAAGGAAUGCUGAUGAACCAUUUUGCUAUCGACUACUAAAUGAGAGAUUUUCAGACCCCU
rnacentral:lncRNA from 1 species